GAGUGAAGUCACUUAUGCAGAUAUACAGAUACUACCAGAAGAAAGAGUGUGUUUUACUUCACAAACUUUGGAUCCAGGACAGAGGAGCACCUAUGCUGAGGUGAAAGUACAUUGGAAAUCUGACAGCACAUCAGAGGCUCCCUGUUCAGAUAACUCAACUCAGCAAGUCUCUCUUCAAUGAAAGAUCAUCAAAUGCCGGUUGAAAGUGCUCAUAAAUUGCUCUUUCUUUUAAAUGACUUUGAUAAAAGAUAGACACUCUGUACCUUGGGGGAACACCUUGCACCUCCAUGUUCAUCCUUAUAAUAUG